GGAUGGGAUCAUACCAGCACUAAAGCACCGGAUCCCAUCAGAACUCCGAAGUUAAGCGUGCUUGGGCGAGAGUAGUACUAGGAUGGUGACCUCCUGGGAAGUCCUCGUGUUGCAUUCC
rnacentral:rRNA from 1 species